rnacentral:rRNA from 1 species
AGCAGCCGCGGUAAUUCCAGCUCCAAUAGCGUAUAUUAAAGUUGUUGCAGUUAAAAAGCUCGUAGUUGAAUUUCGGGAUCAAUAUGUCGGUCGUGCCUCCGGUACGUACUGGCGUUAUUGGUUUCUCCCUUCUGACGAACCACGAUGUCAUUAAUUUGGUGUCAUGGGGAAUCAGGACUGUUACUUUGAAAAAAAUUAGAGUGUUUAAAGCAGGCUCACGCUUGAAUACAUUAGCAUGGAAUAAUGAAAUAGGACGUUCGAUUCUAUUUUGUUGGUUUCUAGGAUCGACGUAAUGAUUAAUAGGGAUAGUUGGGGGCAUUAGUAUUCAAUUGUCAGAGGUGAAAUUCUUGGAUUUAUUGAAGACUAACUACUGCGAAAGCAUUUGCCAAGGAUGUUUUCAUUAAUCAAGAACGAAAGUUAGGGGAUCGAAGACGAUCAGAUACCGUCGUAGUCUUAACCAUAAACUAUGCCGACUAGGGAUCGGAUGAUGUUAAUUUUUUAAUGACUCAUUCGGCGCCUU